AAAGUACUCCCUCCGUCCGGAAUUACUUGUCGUCAAAAUGGAUAAAAAUGAAUGUAUCUAGAACUAAAAUACAUCUAGGUACAUCCAUUUCUUCAACAAGUAUUUCCAGACGGAGGGAGUAUGAA
rnacentral:pre_miRNA from 1 species